CAGUGACUUCAAAUUAUAUUUCAACACUGUUCUCAAAAUAAAAUAACUGUUAGCUACCAAGCUACUUCUAGAAUUACGUUACCACGCAAGCCUGUUGCUGUAAAGUUAUUCGAUGGUUGAGAUAACUGCGGAUACAUUUGCGAGAUGUACAUUAUUAAUUAAAUAAUAUUUAUGCUUGCUACACGUAAAUACAAUAUUCAUAUUCAGACUUUAUUGAUAAGGUGGUGUUGAUAAAUUCAAAAACUACAUGCAAAGUCAAACUUCUGCUGUUAUUUAAGCAAAAGUAUUGUUCUGCAUUUACUCACAGGUUUCCGGAAGAAGAUGCCGAAGAAGGGGAAAAAAGAACAAUGAAAUCCUCCUUGCAUGGACCAGGUCUGUCAUAAAUCAUAUGUGGUUUUCCUGUGCAACCAGUAAGGGGGACGUCGAGGUGCUGAAAUGCCGGAGAAGCAUGGUUCAACCAAGUGUUCUGCAAGCGAUCCAAGGAGGCUGCUACGACUUCUUUCAAAAGUCGCUUCUGAGACUGACACUUUCUAACAUUAAUAAUCACCUCUUCCCUGAGUCUUAUUGCUGUGUCUAAUCAGAUUCUGCCACCACUCUUUAUAUUUAUAUUAUUAUAUACUGUGUGUAUAUACACACAUAUAAUUUUUUUUUUUUGCUUUGUUUUUAUUUUGUGCAGGACUCUUUUAGAUGUAAAUUAUGUCCUUGUUUAUUUUAAUGUGUGCUUUUCACUGGUGGCAAAAUAUUUUUUCUUUGUGAAUUAAAAAAUACAUUUCUUCA